rnacentral:tRNA from 1 species
GGGCCGCUAGCUCAUCCGGUAGAGCACCGCCCUUUUAAGGCGGGUGUGACAGGUUCGAGUCCUGUGCGGCUCACCA